rnacentral:rRNA from 1 species
AGUGAACGCUGGCGGUAGGCCUAACACAUGCAAGUCGAACGGCAGCACAGUAAGAGCUUGCUCUUACGGGUGGCGAGUGGCGGACGGGUGAGGAAUACAUCGGAAUCUACUUUUUCGUGGGGGAUAACGUAGGGAAACUUACGCUAAUACCGCAUACGACCUACGGGUGAAAGCAGGGGAUCUUCGGACCUUGCGCGAUUGAAUGAGCCGAUGUCGGAUUAGCUAGUUGGCGGGGUAAAGGCCCACCAAGGCGACGAUCCGUAGCUGGUCUGAGAGGAUGAUCAGCCACACGGGAACUGAGACACGGUCCAGACUCCUAAGGGAGGCAGCAGUGGGGAAUAUUGGACAAUGGGCGCAAGCCUGAUCCAGCCAUACCGCGUGGGUGAAGAAGGCCUUCGGGUUGUAAAGCCCUUUUGUUGGGAAAGAAAAGCAGCAGGUUAAUACCCCGCUGUUCUGACGGUACCCAAAGAAUAAGCACCGGCUAACUUCGUG